rnacentral:rRNA from 1 species
UACGGAAGGCAGCAGUGGGGAAUAUUGCACAAUGGGCGCAAGCCUGAUGCAGCCAUGCCGCGUGUAUGAAGAAGGCCUUCGGGUUGUAAAGUACUUUCAGUCGUGAGGAAGGUGUUAAGGUUAAUAACCUUAGCAAUUGACGUUAGCGACAGAAGAAGCACCGGCUAACUCCGUGCCAGCAGCCGCGGUAAUACGGAGGGUGCGAGCGUUAAUCGGAAUUACUGGGCGUAAAGGGCACGCAGGCGGUUAAUUAAGUUGGAUGUGAAAUCCCCGGGCUUAACCUGGGAAUGGCAUUCAAGCUGGUUAGCUAGAGUCUUGUAGAGGGGGUAGAAUUCCAUGUGUAGCGGUGAAAUGCGUAGAGAUGUGGAGGAAUACCGGGUGGCGAAGGCGGCCCCUGGGACAAGACUGACGCUCAUGUGCGAAAGCGUGGGGAGCAAACAGGGAUUAGAUACC